UACAGAGACUGCAAGCGUUAUUCGGAAUCAUUGGGUUUAAAGGGUCCGUAGGCGGUUUGGUAAGUCAGUGGUGAAAGCCCAUCGCUCAACGGUGGAACGGCCAUUGAUACUGCCAGACUUGAAUUACUGGGAAGUAACUAGAAUAUGUAGUGUAGCGGUGAAAUGCUUAGAGAUUACAUGGAAUACCAAUUGCGAAGGCAGGUUACUACCAGUGGAUUGACGCUGAUGGACGAAAGCGUGGGUAGCGAACAGG
rnacentral:rRNA from 1 species